UUCUAUGGCCAUACCACCCUGAACACGCCUGAUCUUGUCUGAUUUCGGAAGCUAAGCAGGGUCAGGCAUGGUUAGUAUUUAGAUGGGAGAUAAUUAUAUUUUGCUUUUCUUU
rnacentral:rRNA from 1 species